rnacentral:hammerhead_ribozyme from 1 species
AUCCAGCUGGCAAGUCCCAAAUAGGACGAAACUCGCGUCCUGGAU